UUGCUUCUCUUGAGAGCGGCGGACGGGUGAGUAAUGCCUAGGAAUCUGCCUGGUAGUGGGGGAUAACGUUCGGAAACGGACGCUAAUACCGCAUACGUCCUACGGGAGAAAGCAGGGGACCUUCGGGCCUUGCGCUAUCAGAUGAGCCUAGGUCGGAUUAGCUAGUUGGUGGGGUAAUGGCUCACCAAGGCGACGAUCCGUAACUGGUCUGAGAGGAUGAUCAGUCACACUGGAACUGAGACACGGUCCAGACUCCUACGGGAGGCAGCAGUGGGGAAUAUUGGACAAUGGGCGAAAGCCUGAUCCAGCCAUGCCGCGUGUGUGAAGAAGGUCUUCGGAUUGUAAAGCACUUUAAGUUGGGAGGAAGGGUUGUAGAUUAAUACUCUGCAAUUUUGACGUUACCGACAGAAUAAGCACCGGCUAACUCUGUGCCAGCAGCCGCGGUAAUACAGAGGGUGCAAGCGUUAAUCGGAAUUACUGGGCGUAAAGCGCGCGUAGGUGGUUUUGUUAAGUUGGAUGUGA
rnacentral:rRNA from 1 species